rnacentral:misc_RNA from 1 species
GAGCGUCAUUGCACCUCUCAAGCGUAGCUUGGUAUUGGGGUCUCGCCCCCGCGGCGUCCCCGAAAAGCAGUGGCGGUCCGGUGUGACUUUAAGCGUAGUAAAUUUCUCCCGCUUUGAAAGUUCGCCCCGUGGCCUGCCAGACAACCCUAUAUACUCCAAUAAUUGACCUCGGAUCAGGUAGGGAUACCCGCUGAACUUAA